rnacentral:rRNA from 1 species
GACGAACGCUGGCGGCGUGCUUAACACAUGCAAGUCGAACGGAAAGGCCCUGCUUUUGUGGGGUGCUCGAGUGGCGAACGGGUGAGUAACACGUGAGUAACCUGCCCUUGACUUUGGGAUAACUUCAGGAAACUGGGGCUAAUACCGGAUAGGAGCUCCUGCUGCAUGGUGGGGGUUGGAAAGUUUCGGCGGUUGGGGAUGGACUCGCGGCUUAUCAGCUUGUCGGUGGGGUAGUGGCUUACCAAGGCUUUGACGGGUAGCCGGCCUGAGAGGGUGACCGGCAACAUUGGGACUGAGAUACGGCCCAGACUCCUACGGGAGGCAGCAGUGGGGAAUAUUGCACAAUGGGCGGAAGCCUGAUGCAGCAACGCCGCGUGCGGGAUGACGGCCUUCGGGUUGUAAACCGCUUUCGCCUGUGACGAAGCGUGAGUGACGGUAAUGGGUAAAGAAGCACCGGCUAACUACGUG